rnacentral:rRNA from 1 species
GAUGAACGCUGGCGGCGUGCCUAAUACAUGCAAGUCGAGCGAACAGAUGAGGAGCUUGCUCCUCUGACGUUAGCGGCGGACGGGUGAGUAACACGUGGAUAACCUACCUAUAAGACUGGGAUAACUUCGGGAAACCGGAGCUAAUACCGGAUAAUAUAUUGAACCGCAUGGUUCAAUAGUGAAAGACGGUCUUGCUGUCACUUAUAGAUGGAUCCGCGCCGCAUUAGCUAGUUGGUAAGGUAACGGCUUACCAAGGCAACGAUGCGUAGCCGACCUGAGAGGGUGAUCGGCCACACUGGAACUGAGACACGGUCCAGACUCCUACGGGAGGCAGCAGUAGGGAAUCGUCCGCAAUGGGCGAAAGCCUGACGGAGCAACGCCGCGUGAGUGAUGAAGGUCUUCGGAUCGUAAAACUCUGUUAUUAGGGAAGAACAAAUGUGUAAGUAACUAUGCACGUCUUGACGGUACCUAAUCAGAAAGCCACGGCUAACUACGUG